GAUGAACGCUAGCGGCAGGCCUAACACAUGCAAGUCGAGGGGUAACAUAGGAAAGCUUGCUUUCUGAUGACGACCGGCGCACGGGUGCGUAACGCGUAUACAACCUACCUUUUAGCGGGGAAUAGCCCAGGGAAACUUGGAUUAAUGCCCCAUAGUAUAUAGACUUCUCCUGAAGUUUAUAUUAAACAUUUAUGGCUAUUAGAUGGGUAUGCGUCCUAUUAGUUAGUUGGUAAGGUAACGGCUUACCAAGGCAGCGAUAGGUAGGGGUCCUGAGAGGGAGAUCCCCACACUGGUACUGAGACACGGACCAGACUCCUACGGGAGGCAGCAGUGAGGAAUAUUGGACAAUGGGCGAGAGCCUGAUCCAGCCAUGCCGCGUGCAGGAAGACUGCCCUAUGGGUUGUAAACUGUCUUUUACAGAGGAAGAACCCACCCCACGUGUGGGGGUUUGACGGUACUCUGCGAAUAAGGAUCGGCUAACUCCGUG
rnacentral:rRNA from 1 species